rnacentral:rRNA from 1 species
GACGUAGGUGGCGACCGUUAUCCGGAAUUAUUGGGCGUAAAGGGUGCGUAGGCGGCAUGAUAAGUUAUUGGCGGUAAAUCGAGGCUCAACCUCGUGGAAACUGAUAAUACUGUUUUGCUUGAGUACAGGAGAGGUUAACGGAACUCCAUGUGGAGCGGUAAAAUGUGUAGAUAUAUGGAAGAACAUCAAUAACGGCGAAGGCAGUUAACUAUUCUGUCACUGACGUUGAGGCACGAAAGCGUGGGGAGCAAAAAGG